rnacentral:pre_miRNA from 1 species
GUAGUACUCCCUCCGUCCGAAAAUACUUGUCCUCAAAAUGAAUAAAAGGGGAUGUAUCUAGAUGUACUUUAGUUCUAGAUACAUCAUUUUUGUCCAUUUUGAUGACAAAUAUUUUCGGACGGAGGGAGUAGUAU